AAUCACUCAAACCAAGAAUGUCGUUGAAAACCGUUGCUUUCUUUCUUUUGUUCGUUGUUUUCACAUUUGGAAACGAGGUAAGUUGUCUUCUUGUUAGUUCCUAUUUCUUUCUGAUUUAUUCACUUGCCAACAUAAUUGUUUGUCAUGCAUGCUGUUUCUGUGUAGAGUUAAUAUGCGCACUGAUGAAUUCGUACUCAUAAAAAAUAAAAGGAGCAUUGCAUUUCUUUGCAGUAUAAUUUUUUAUUGAAAAAGUAUAUAAUAAUUAUGGUCUUAAUAAUUUUUAAUCACAAUCAAUAAAAGGGGCGCACAUGAGGGUAGGCUAUAUGACAGGUUCGGGGGUGUAAAACCCUCCCAGCACUCGAAAAUCACAAAAUGUCGGUCCCAAUUUUGAUUGAUGCAUUUCCAAUUUUAAGAAUUAUAAACAUGUUGCAACCCAUGUACUUACCAGAAACAGAUCUUUUGCACCUAAAGGCUGCUUUAUUCAUGACAUAAAUGAUUUUUUUAUUUCAAAAAAGAUUUGAUCCUGCCGGCGUCAACUAUUUGUGUCCUUACAACAAAGCGUGUACAACAGACAGCGAAUGCAACUGCGAAAUCCAAUUUUUGAGGUGCAAAAGGGUAAAGGAAGGAGACCAUAGAUGCAUAGUGGUGAAUUUUUCAGAACUGGUAGGAGAACCUAGCCAUGAAAUGUUUGCUAUGGCUGUGCCGACAAUUCCAGCGAAGAAACCUUUUAAGAAAUUGAAUAAAAGAAUACAAAAUAAUGCGUUGCCUUAAUUAAUAAAGAAUACACUUUAAGAAAUUUAUGUCGGUG